AAAAUGUUCUAUUUUCACUUAUGAUUACAUGAGUUAAAAACAAAUUUGUUAAUUUUCCUUUUGUUGAAUAAAUCUUAAUUGUUUAUAAAUAUAUAAACAUAUAAAUUAGUAUAUGUAAAUUUGUUUACUUUUUAAGAUUUUCUAUUUUUUUUAGAGAAUAAAAAAGUUAAAUUUUGAAUGACACAUGUAAACAUCUAAUUGUUUGACUUGACACGUGGCACAAUCCUAUGAGUUAGCAACUUUGAAAACCAUACUUUAUAUAAUAAGAUAUAAAAAUCUGGAAAAUUGAGAAGUUUAAGAAUUGUCGUUACCAUUUUUUUUUGCAUGAAAAUAACAAAAACAGCUAUUGUACAUGCUCCAACUCCACCAGCAAAUGUUCCCACUAAAAGUCUAACUAAGUCAAAUUUCUAAGUAGCUAUAGUAGUCGUUCUACGAUGAAAAUCAUAAGGAUUUAAAAAGCAAUUUAAACCUAUAUAUCGAAGCAAGCUAUCCUCUAGUAGUCAACUUUGCAAACUUUGGCAUCAAUAGUAGUUAAAAUCUCUUUCAUUUCAAUAGUUCUUUUUCUUUUAUAAUUAAAAUAAGAAAAAAUGUACUGUGCAAUCUGUGUACAUUAAAUAAGUAUAAGAAUCAA
rnacentral:sRNA from 1 species